CGACACUAUUACUCCUCUGCCUAAAUUGCCCCAGCAUCCCCUAAAACCCUAAGCAUCAAAGGGACUACAACCAUUGUUGCAGAUUUCAUAGCUAAGGGCUUACUUAUUCCUUGUGCUAGUCCCUGCAGCACUCCUACCCUCCAGCUAAAAAGUUCAAAUGGAUGUGGAUAACUCUACGUAUGAGACUUAAGGGAUGUAAACGAGAUAAUGCGCAUAUGUUUCCCAGUGGUCCCCAACCCAGAUAUUAUCCUGGCUUCUCUACCUCCAAAUUCAACACAGCAGUGGAUCUCCGUUCAACCUUCUUUAGUAUUCCCUUAUCCUGAUUCACACUCUUUUUGCUUUCACGUGGAAUAAAGAGCAAUGCCCGAGGACUGUGAUGCCUCAAGGCUUCAUUGAAGCCCUCUCGUAUAUCCCUAAGGAUCUCAACCAUAAUCUCCAAGCUUUCUGGUUCCCUCAUUCUUUUACCUUGAUCCAAUAUGUUCACUUGCCCUUAUGUUCACCUGGUGGAACCUCUUAUCUAGAGCACUCACUUUAUCUCUUGGAACAUUUGGUUACAAAAGGACAUAAAGUUUCUAAAGAUAAAUUACUAUUUUGUCAGGCUCAAAUUUGCUCUCUCUGUCUCUCUCUAUCCCAAGAAGGUAAAUUCCUCUCACCAGUCUGAGGAAUUAUAAUUUGUUCUCUCACCAGACAGAGUUAUAGCCAUCCAAUGUUUCUCUUGCCCUAUUACCAAAAGACUGGUAGAGUAAGGAACAUGGCACACUCUUCCCGGAAAACAACCAUUUAACUGGAGACAAUUAUAAAGACCAAACCAAACCAAAGCAAUCAUUUAAAGUCUCUGGCAAUGGUCCUAAGGAAUGCAAGAAGUAGAGAAACAUUUAUUCAAGAAAACACACUAAAUUUAGAAAAAACAGUGAUAGUCUGGGGCUACACUUGAGCCACAGCCUGCUCCCUCCUUCUCUCCCAGCUAUGUUUUAUGGAAACUAAUCUGGGCAUGCUACUCCUGGCGGAUGUGCCCAAGAAGAUGACGGCUUCCUCUUCCCUCGGCUCCCAGCCUAGGGCUAUGGUUUCACCCCAGGAUGGGCAGGCCACUGGCAUUCCUCAUUUCCCCCAACCCUGUGUUGCAGAAGCUCUAUUCCUGAUAGGCUUUGCCAAGAGGACUGAGUUCUCUUCCACCACCUACUCAUAGGGUAGAAGGAUCUACUCCAGGUGGAGCAAGCCGAGAACACAGGUCUGAUGGAUCCCACUCAAAGUUGUUCGUGGGGUGGAGGCUCCAGACCAGGAGGGGCAAGCCAAGAAGAACAGGGGCUACGACUGCCUCGGUGCCCACUCAUAGAACAGGAGUGUCACUCUGGGGCACUGUCACUCCAGCUCCUGUGCAGAGAGGUUCUGUGCAAGGAGAGAGGCAGGCCAUAAGGAUGAAGAACGCUGUAGCUCUGCCUAAGAGGACUAACUUUAUCUGGAACAGAGCACGGAGAAGUCCAUGCCUAAGGCUUUUGUCAACAACAGUGGAGAUCUUGUUGUAGAGCAAUUAAGAGAGAAUUCACAGCUUCAUCAUACCAGUAGCAACAAGCAAAUGGCAGAGCAAUCAGAAGUUUCACAGGGAGAAUUAGGGAAAGGAAAGCCAAGAAGACCUGUCUGGGAUCACAGCCAAGCCUGGGGUCAGGAGGGCUGUGCAUAAGCAUGAUGUUGCCCCCACUCAGCAGCAAUUAGAAUAGACAUGGAGAAGCCUUGAAAACGUGUACCAGACCUCACACAGAUCCAUGAACCAAGAGCACAAGUCUCGCUGACCAAAUACCGGCUGAAUAACCUACUCUGAUUUGGGAGCAGUUCCUAGGGAGCCAGGCUGAAGAGUAAAAUCACGGGUACCCAUGGCAGUUAGAAGACUGUGUGCAUGUUCAAAGCUGCAUUCUCUUAGGAGUGACUGGAAAGAGAAAGUCCAAGCUAAUUGUCCCUGACUGAACGUGAAGCAAAAAUGUAAACUCUGUGAGCAGUGAUAGUAGCUUCCAGGCCAAACAAACAUCCAACGAUAAAGGGUAAAAGUCUAACUGCCAAAGGGGGCUUAAACACAACCUUUGACCAAUAAGUGGUUUACGCUGACCCAGGGUUGACCCUUACGUAGUCAGGCUAAAAGAUAAAAAACAAAAAAACAAAAAAUAUGAACAAGGACGUAAGACGCUGAACGCUGUAGGGCAAAGUGACUUCACAAAGUUAGUUCACCAAAGUCACUAAAAAUAAAUAAAUGACAAAUCAACGACAGUCCCAGGGUAGGGAGAGAGCAAUAUCUGGAACUGAUGCAAUAUCUAAAUAUUUAGAUAAAGAUUUUAGAUAAAUACAUAAAUGUAUCUAAAAUUUCCAGUUUUCAACCACAGAAAAAAAAAUGAUCCAUACGAUGAAACAGGAAAGUGUGACCCAUACACACAGUCAAUAGAAACUGUUUUGGAGGGUCCCAGACUUUGGACUUAGCAGAAAAACACUUGAAAGCAGCCAUUAUAAAAAUGUUCAAAGAACUAAAGGAAAUUAUGCCUAAAAAUUUUUAAAAGUAUGAUAACAGUAUCUUGAUGAAUAAAGAAAACCAAUAAAGAGUUCAGAAUUAUAGAAAGGAACCAAAGGGAAAUUCUGGAUUGGAAAAAUACGAUAACUGAAAUGAAAAAUUUAAUAAAGGGGCUCAACAGUAGAUUUGAGCUGGAAGAAGAAAGAAUUAGUGAAGUAGAAGAGAGAUCACUAGAGAUUAGGGAAUCUGAAGAAGAGAGAGAAAAAAGAAUGGAGAAAAAUGAUCAGAAUAACAUGAAACACACCAAUGUACGUGUAAUGGGAGUAGCAGAAGGAAAGCAGAAGGGGAAAGGAGAAGAAAAAAUAUUUGUGGUAAUAAUGGUUGAAAAUUUCCCAAAUUUGAUUAAAAAACAGCUUUCAUCCACAUAUUCAAGAAACUCAUGCAGCUCAAAGUGGAUAAAAUGCAGGAAGAUUCACACCCAGAUAGAUCAUAGCCAAAAUGAUGAAAGCCAAAGAUGAAGAAAAGAUCUUAAAAACAGUAAGAGGAAAAUGACUCAUCACUUGCAAGGUAACCCCAGUAAUGUUAACAAUGAGCUUCUCACUGGAAACAAUGGAGGCCAGGAGGGAGUGGAACAACAUAUUUGAGAUGCUGAAAGCUUAAAAAAAUUAUCAACCAAAAGUUUUAUAUCCAGCAAAAAUGAAACAAAUACAUUCCAAGAUUGAAAAAAAAAAGAAAGAAAAGCAGCUUGGAGAAUUUGUUGUUAGAAGACCUGCCUUGAAAGAAACACUAGAGUUUUGAGAGUGAAAACGAGUUACGCCAGAUAGAAAUUUGAAUCCACAUCAAAAAACAAAGCAUGUCAAUAAAAGUAAUUAUGAUGGUAACUAUAAAAGAAAGUUUAAUUGCAUAGUUCUUUUCCUUUCUUUUCUUAACUAAUUUUAAAACUACUUGCAUAACACAAUAUGUAGAUAAUUUUGUUGUUGGAAUGCAACUUAUACAAAUGUAGUAUAUUUGGAAAUAAUAUCACAAAAGAGGCAGGCAGGAACAAAGUUGUGUUGGAAUAAGGAAGUGACAUCAUAUGGUAAUGCAAGUUCACUGGAAGAAAUGAAGGGAAUCAGAGAUGAUAAAUAAGAAGAUUAAUAUAGCAAACUUCAAAUAUAUACUUGCACUCCUGUCUUCUUUGAGCACCUUUGAAUGACAGAAGAUUAUACAAGGUAAUAAGUUUUCAUUGUUGGGUUUGUGACACAUACAGCAAUACUGAGUAUAACAAAAUAGUACACACACGGGGUGUAGGAAUGGACCUAUACAGGAGUAAAGUUUCUAUAUUUCACUAGCAUUAAGUUAGCAUACAUCUGAAACAGAUUCUGAUAAGUUAGGAUGUAUAUUGCACGCCCUAGAGCAACUGCUAAAAGGUGACUCAAAAAAUAUCAUUAUCAGUAAAAAUUAUUAAAAGAGGGGCUGGCACCGUGGCUGAGUGGUUAAGUUCAAGCGCUCCGCUGCAGGCAGCCCAGUGUUUCAUUGGUUCGACUCCUGGGCGUGGACAUGGCACUGCUCAUCAAACCACGCUGAGGCAGCGUCCCACAUGCCACAACUAGAAGGACCCACAACGAAGAAUAUACACCUAUGUACCGGGGGGCUUUGGGGAGAAAAAGGAAAAAAAAUUAUUAAAAGAAUUAAGAUGUUACACUAGAAAAUACCCACUUAAAACAAAAGAAACUGGUAAUAAAGGAGUAGAGAAACAACCCCCUCCCCCCAUGAGACAUACGGAAAACAAAAAAGCAAAAUGGUGGAUGUAAAUCCAAAUCCGUGCACAUCAGUAAGCGUGAAGGGAUUAAACCGUCCAACCAAAAGGAAGAGAUUUUUAGGUUGGAUAGAAAAACAGGGUCCAAUUACGUGCUGUCUACAGGAGACACACUUUAGAUGCAAAGAUGCAAAAAGGUGGAAAGUAAAAGGACAUAAACUGAUAUGUCAUGCAAACAGCAAUCGUAAGACACCUGGAGUGGCAAUACUAAUAUUAGACUUUAAAAUUAACUUUAAAAAAGGUUGCUAGUGAUAAAGAGAGACAUUUCAUAAUGAUAAAAGAGACAAUAUAUUGGAAUGACAUAACAUUUAUAAACAUAUGCACUUAAAAAUAGGGCCCGAAAUACAUGAAGCAAAAAUGUCAGAAUGGAAGGGAGAAAUAGACAAUACAACAAUAGUAGGAGGAGAUUUCAAUACCUCACUUACAAUAAUGGAUAGAACAACUAAGCAAAAGAUUAACAAGCGAACAGAACAUUUGAACAGCACUAUAAACCAAUUCAAGCUAACAGACAUCUAUAGAACACGACCAAAUAACAGCGGAGCACACAUUCUUCUCAAGUCCACGGGGAACAGUCUCCAACACAGACUGUAUUUUAGGCCCAAAUCAUCCUCAAUAAUUUGAAAAGGAUUGAAAUCAUACAAAAUAUGUUCUCCAACCAUAAUGGGAUGAGAUGAGAAAUCAAUAACAGAAGGAAAA
ensembl:lncRNA